AGUGAACGCUGGCGGCAGGCCUAACACAUGCAAGUCGAACGGCAGCACAGUAAGAGCUUGCUCUUACGGGUGGCGAGUGGCGGACGGGUGAGGAAUACAUCGGAAUCUACUUUUUCGUGGGGGAUAACGUAGGGAAACUUACGCUAAUACCGCAUACGACCUACGGGUGAAAGCAGGGGAUCUUCGGACCUUGCGCGAUUGAAUGAGCCGAUGUCGGAUUAGCUAGUUGGCGGGGUAAAGGCCCACCAAGGCGACGAUCCGCAGCUGGUCUGAGAGGAUGAUCAGCGACACGGGAACGGAUACGCGGUCCAGACUCCUACGGGAGGCAGCAGUGUGGAAUAUUGGACAAUGGGCGCAAGCCUGAUCCAGCCAUACCGCGUGUGUGAAGAAGGCCUUCGGGUUGUAAAGCCCUUUUGUUGGGAAAGAAAAGCAGCAGGUUAAUACCCCGCUGUUCUGACGGUACCCAAAGAAUAAGCACCGGCUAACUUCGUG
rnacentral:rRNA from 1 species